rnacentral:rRNA from 1 species
AACGAACGCUGGCGGCAUGCCUAACACAUGCCAGUCGAACGAUACCUCCGUACAUAGUUGCUCUCGGGUGCGUCACGCGUCGGACUCUGCCCUUGGGUUCCGGAUACCACGCCUUCAGGCGGGCUAAUACCGGGUGAUGUACUAUGAUCCCAGAUUUAUCGACCGAGGAUGAGCCCGCGUAGGUCUAACCUGGUGGUAGUGUAAAGGCCCGCCAAGGCGACGAUCCUUAGCUGGUCUGAGAGGAUGAGCAGCCACACUGGGACUGAGACACGGCCCAGACUCCUACGGGAGGCAGCAGUGGGGAAUAUUGGACAAUGGGCGAAAGCCUGAUCCAGCAAGGCCGCGUGAGUGAUGAAGGCCGUAGGGUUGUAAAGCUCGUUUACCCGGGAUGAUAAUGACAGUACCGGGAGAAUAAGCUCCGGCUAACUCCGUG